GUGCUCUCUUUGGCAGCACAUAUACUAAAGUCGGUACCAUAACAGAGAAGAUUAGCACAGCCCCUGCGCGAGGAUGAAGUGCAAAUUCAUGAAGAAGAUUCUAAGGAC
ensembl:snRNA U6 U6 spliceosomal RNA